rnacentral:ncRNA from 2 species
AACUAUCUUCGGGGCAGGGUGUAAUUCCCGACCGGCGGUGAAGGAUAUGCAAUUCCUCAAGCCCGCGAGCCUGUUUUUUGGGCAGGAUCUGGUGUGAUUCCAGAGCCGACAGUAUAGUCUGGAUGGGAGAAGAUGGUG